GAUGAACGCUGGCGGCGUGCCUAAUACAUGCAAGUCGAGCGAACAGACGAGGAGCUUGCUCCUCUGACGUUAGCGGCGGACGGGUGAGUAACACGUGGAUAACCUACCUAUAAGACUGGGAUAACUUCGGGAAACCGGAGCUAACACCGGAUAAUAUAUUGAACCGCAUGGUUCAAUAGUGAAAGACGGUUUUGCUGUCACUUAUAGAUGGAUCCGCGCCGCAUUAGCUAGUUGGUAAGGUAACGGCUUACCAAGGCAACGAUGCGUAGCCGACCUGAGAGGGUGAUCGGCCACACUGGAACUGAGACACGGUCCAGACUCCUACGGGAGGCAGCAGUAGGGAAUCUUCCGCAAUGGGCGAAAGCCUGACGGAGCAACGCCGCGUGAGUGAUGAAGGUCUUCGGAUCGUAAAACUCUGUUAUUAGGAAAGAACAAAUGUGUAAGUAACUAUGCACGUCUUGACGGUACCUAAUCAGAAAGCCACGGCUAACUACGU
rnacentral:rRNA from 1 species